UUUUUUCUAUAAAUAGGGGUGCUCCUUCCUUGCCCUUGGCUAUUUUGCACUCCCACCCCUCUAAUUCUCCUAGCCGCCACCUUCUCUUUCCCUGUCUUCUCCCUCACGGCAGCAGCCCACGCUCCUUCACGCACGCCAGAGCAGGGAGAAGCCGCUCCCAUGGAUGGCGCCCAAGCCUUCUUCCCCAGCGCAGGGAGCUCGGCCCCCUUCCUCCCUCUCUCUGCUGUACAUGGCGCCCCUGCUCCUUCCUCGCGCAGGGCAGCAGCACCUCCAUUCCCCGCGGAUUCAUGGCGCUCGGCAGCAGGGUGUCUCCAUGGUCGGCCAGCAACCUCGCUGGUCGAGCUCCCCAGCGUUUCCCCCUGCUAUCCACAGCGUGGGCGAGCUCCCUCCCUCUCCUUGCCCAUGGCGUCCCUUCCCUCCAGCGCCUCCCUUUGCCCCCUGUGCUCGGCGCCCCUGCAGCAGCACGCGCGCAUGAGCAGGGCCUUCAUGGGCGCGAGUCCCUCUGCUCCUCCAUGGGCUCGACCCCCCUGCACCUCUCCUUAGCUCCCCAUGGCGCCCAGAAAAUAGCAGCUCGGCUCCUCUGCUCUUCUUCCCCGUGGUCGCGAUUCUGCGCAGAGCUGCGAGCAGGAGCAUGCCAUGGCCGGAUCUGCCCCCUCCAUGGACGCCCCUUGCUGUUCCCUGCGCCUAGCUCUCUCUAUCCAGCGCGCCCCAUUUUCUUCCAUGGAAAACCAACAGCGAGCCCCCUUCCUCGCUGUUCGUUGUGGUGCCCGCCGGCUGUUCGUCAAAAUGCGCAGCAAGCCGCGCGCUGCCGGCUCGCUGUUUCGUGAAGCCCAGUGGACAGCACGCCGUCGACGCCCGCCGUGUGCUCGCUGUUUUGCGCAGCCCAUCUGCGACGCCGUCGAAAACCGUGCUAGUGGUCGACGUCGUGCCUUGCCCGUUCGACGAAAUACCGAGCCAUGUGGACAGCCAUGCGUCUAGUCACGACCCAUUCAGGACCGAGAGAUGGUGAUCGUGCACGUGAUAUGGUGCCAACCACAGGAUGCCGUUGGUGGACGACCCAAGGAAGGAUGGACUUAACCACUGGAUGCUCGCCAAGCGAGUACCUCCCCUAGCAAACACUGUCUAAGUGUUAAAUUAAAG